UUACCCCCUUAAAGUAUCAUUUGUAACACUUACCCCCCUCAAGCACAAUUUAAUUUGUAUUUUAAAUUUUAACACCUUAAAAAAAUAUUUUAUUGAAAGGAAUAACUAAAAGAAUAAUUAAAUUAUACAACUAAAAAUAUCUGUUGAAAAAUACAAUAUUUCAAAAUUUAAAAAUAUUAUCUUGCGUUGGAUACUUAUUCAAUAAAUAACAUUUAAUUGUUGUUGGACCAAUUAAUCAAAAAUAAUCUAUCAAUAAAUUUUAAGAAAUCAAUGCAUAACUAAUAGAAAUCUUAAGUAUUUAAAUUUAUUUUAGUUCAUUAAUUUUUUUAAAUAUGUUUUCAUUCAUUAUUACCCAAUAUAUAUUACUUUUUAAUUUUUUUUCAAUAAUUAAUUUUAGUUACUUUUCAAUUUUCUAUGAACCGUUAAUUAUUAGAUUGUUAUGUUUAUUAUUUUUUAAAUUUUAAAAUAUAAAAUAAUUGAUGUGGAGGGGGUAAGUGUUACAAAUGAUACUUUAAGGGGGUAAGUGUUACAUGAGCUAUACUUCAGGGGUGCAAAGUGUAUUUAGCCCUA
rnacentral:lncRNA from 1 species